rnacentral:rRNA from 1 species
GGACUACAGGGGUAUCUAAUCCUGUUUGCUCCCCACGCUUUCGCGUCUCAGCGUCAGUACCGUCCCAGCGAGCUGCCUUCGCCAUUGGUGUUCCUCCUGAUAUCUGCGCAUUUCACCGCUACACCAGGAAUUCCACUCGCCUCUUCCGGACUCUAGCCCGACAGUAUCCGCCCGCCUCCCGGGGUUGAGCCCCGGGCUUUCAGAGCGGACUUACCGAGCCGCCUACACGCUCUUUACGCCCAAUGAUUCCGGACAACGCUUGCCCCCUACGUAUUACCGCGGCUGCUGGCAC